rnacentral:rRNA from 1 species
GACGAACGCUGGCGGCGUGCUUAACACAUGCAAGUCGAACGGAAAGGCCCUGCUUUUGUGGGGUGCUCGAGUGGCGAACGGGUGAGUAACACGUGAGUAACCUGCCCUUGACUUUGGGAUAACUUCAGGAAACUGGGGCUAAUACCGGAUAGGAGCUCCUGCUGCAUGGUGGGGGUUGGAAAGUUUCGGCGGUUGGGGAUGGACUCGCGGCUUAUCAGCUUGUUGGUGGGGUAGUGGCUUACCAAGGCUUUGACGGGUAGCCGGCCUGAGAGGGUGACCGGCCACAUGGGGACUGAGAUACGGCCCAGACUCCUACGGGAGGCAGCAGUGGGGAAUAUUGCACAAUGGGCGGACGCCUGAUGCAGCAACGCCGCGUGCGGGAUGACGGCCUUCGGGUUGUAAACCGCUUUCGCCUGUGACGAAGCGUGAGUGACGGUAAUGGGUAAAGAAGCACCGGCUAACUACGU